rnacentral:rRNA from 1 species
CUGGUUGAUCCUGCCAGUAGUCAUAUGCUUGUCUCAAAGAUUAAGCCAUGCAUGUCUAAGUCCAAGCUGUGUUCACACGGCGAGACCGCGGACGGCUCAUUAAAUCAGUCGUGGUCCAAAUGGGCCAGUGCAAAUCCUACUUGGAUAACUGUGGUAAUUCCAGAGCUAAUACAUGCAACUGAUAUCCCGAAGGCGAUGGUUGUGCUUGCUUGUCUUGCGCUCUCACUGCUCUGACGGAUGCUUUUAUUAGACCAAACUGCUGAGGACUUGAGGGUUCGCCUUCUUGUCUGACUCGUGUAAUGGUGACUCUGGAUAACCAAUCUGACAAGCGCACGUACUUCUCUUCUGAGCGAGACGGCGCUGCCACUUUCGAGUGUCUGCCUUAUCAGCUAUCAACCGUUCGUUAUGCGCGACCGAUGGCUUUGACGGGUAACGGGGAAUCAGGGUUCGAUUCCGGAGAGGCAGCCUGAGAGACGGCUACCACGUCCAAGGACGGCAGCAGGCACGCAAAUUACCCAAUCCCAGCAAAUGGGGGAGGUAGUGACGAAAUCUAACGAUGCGGGCGCCCUUUCUGGGGCCCCGCAAUCGGAAUGGGCACUUUCUAAACAACCUGUUGAGAACCUACUGAAGGGCAAGUCUGGUGCCAGCAGCCGCGGUAAUUCCAGCUUCAGCAGCAUCUAUUAAAGUUGCUGCRGUUAAAARGCUCGCAGUUGAAUGUCUGUAUCGAGCGCAGGUCAGGUGGACGUU